UAACGGCGAGCGAACGGGGAAGAGCUCGUGGCCGAAUCCGGAGCCCGAAAAGGCUUCGGAAAUGUGGCGUGUGGGAGGCGGCAUCCUCCGUUCGGAGAGACCGGCGCAGGUCCCCAUGAGAGGGGCAUGCUUCCCGGAGCGGGUGCUAGGCCCUUACCGCCGGGAUCUCCGGAGGGAGUCGCCGUUCUCCCGGGAGUCGGGUUGCUUGGGAGUGCAGCCCAAAGAGGGUGGUAAACUCCACCUAAAGCUAAAUAAGACCGAGAGACCGAUAGCAAACAAGUACCGUGAGGGAAAGUUGAAAAGCACUUUGAAGAGAGAGUUCAAGAGUACGUGAAACCGUUUGGAGGUAAACGGGUGGGGCUUCGAAAGCCGAGAGGGCGGUGGCGGAUUCAGCCUCGGGGGACUUCCUCCUCCUGGGGAUCCCCGCAUCGAGAGGUGGGGGCCCCGUGAGGGCGGGGAGCCUCCGGGGCGCACUUCCGCGCCCCGCCGGAAAGGACGCCGCGAGGGGUUGGCCGGCCGUCGUGGGGACGGGCCGAAAGGUGGCCGUCCUUCCUUAGGGAUCGACGGUGUUACAGGCGGCCCGGGGCCCGAGGGGUCGGCCGACCGUGGUGGAGGAAUGCCUCGAGAACCUUCUCGAUUGAGGUCGCGUGGGCCGUGGGCCCUCGCGGUCCCAGAGGCGACGCCCUGAGGGGCGAGCUUCGAAGAUCGUCGUGGUGCCCCGCGGUGCCUCGUGGGGGAAGGAGAGGUCGGCGGCGAGUAGAUCGGUCUCCCACCCGACCCGUCUUGAAACACGGACCAAGGAGUCCGAUGCGCGUGCGAGUCCCCGGGACUUGUUUAGGCCCGUGGGCGCAAUGAAGGUGAAGGGCGACGGGGGUCGUCCUAGUUGGGAUCCCUCCCCUCGAGGGGGGAAGGGCGCACCAACGUCCCGUCCGCGACCGGUCACGGUCGGGCGGAGAAGGAGCACGCGCCUUGGGACCCGAAAGAUGGUGAACUAUGCCUGGGCAGGAUGAAGCCAGAGGAAACUCUGGUGGAGGUCCGUAGCGAUUCUGACGUGCAAAUCGAUCGUC
rnacentral:rRNA from 1 species